rnacentral:tRNA from 1 species
GGGAGUGUACCCAAGCGGCCAAAGGGGGCAGACUGUAAAUCUGUUGUCAGUGACUACGGUGGUUCGAACCCACCCGCUCCCACCA